UGGGGAAUAUUGGACAAUGGGCGCAAGCCUGGUCCAGCCAUGCCGCGUGAGUGAUGAAGGCCUUAGGGUUGUAAAGCUCUUUCGACGGGGACGAUAAUGACGGUACCCGUAGAAGAAGCCCCGGCUAACUUCGUGCCAGCAGCCGCGGUAAUACGAAGGGGGCUAGCGUUGCUCGGAAUCACUGGGCGUAAAGGGCGCGUAGGCGGACGUUUAAGUCAGAGGUGAAAGCCCAGGGCUCAACCCUGGAAUGGCCUUUGAUACUGGACGUCUUGAGUCUGGUAGAGGUUGGUGGAACUGCGAGUGUAGAGGUGAAAUUCGUAGAUAUUCGCAAGAACACCGGUGGCGAAGGCGGCCAACUGGACCAGAACUGACGCUGAGGCGCGAAAGCGUGGGGAGCAAACAGGAUUAGAUACCCUGGUAGUCCACGCCGUAAAACGAUGGAUGCUAGCCGUUGGCCGGUUUACCGGUCAGUGGCGCAGCUAACGCGUUAAGCAUCCCGCCU
rnacentral:rRNA from 1 species